UUAGGUUACCGGAGAUUAAUAAUCUUGUCAGGUCGAUAGUUAGAAUAUGAUUUUUUUAAAUUAAGUGUGCUAUUUGUACACCAUACUAACUGGGAAUUAGCUACUUAGGUAGCUUUUUUUCAUGGA
rnacentral:sRNA from 1 species